UACGGAGGGUGCAAGCGUUGUUCGGAAUUAUUGGGCGUAAAGAGCGCGUAGGCGGUCCUUUAAGUCAGAUGUGAAAGCCCAGGGCUCAACCCUGGAAGUGCAUUUGAAACUAAAGGACUUGAGUAUGGGAGAGGGAAGUGGAAUUCCUGGUGUAGCGGUGAAAUGCGUAGAUAUCAGGAGGAACACCGGUGGCGAAGGCGACUUCCUGGACCAAUACUGACGCUGAGGCGCGAAGGCGUGGGGAGCAAACAGG
rnacentral:rRNA from 1 species